rnacentral:rRNA from 1 species
GCCAGCAGCUAUAUCACCCUGCAGCUCUCAGCCAGCUACCCACCCAAGCUCAGCAGGGUUGAGCCUGGUCAGUACCUGGAUGGGAGGACUCUUGGGAUGCUAUGGUUGCUGCUGGAA